rnacentral:rRNA from 1 species
CCUACGGGAGGCAGCAGUGAGGAAUAUUGGUCAAUGGACGAGAGUCUGAACCAGCCAAGUAGCGUGAAGGAUGACUGCCCUAUGGGUUGUAAACUUCUUUUAUAUGGGAAUAAAACGUUCCACGUGUGGGAUUUUGUAUGUACCAUAUGAAUAAGGAUCGGCUCACGCCGUGCCAGCAGCCGCGGUAAUACGGAGGAUCCGAGCGUUAUCCGGUUUUAUUGGGUUUAAAGGGAGCGUAGGUGGAUUGUUAAGUCAGUUGUGAAAGUUUGCGGCUCAACCGUAAAAUUGCAGUUGAAACUGGCAGUCGUGAGUACAGUAGAGGUGGGCGGAAUUCGUGGUGUAGCGGUGAAAUGCUUAGAUAUCACGAAGAACUCCGAUUGCGAAGGCAGCUCACUGGACUGCAACUGACACUGAGGCUCGAAAGUGUGGGUAUCAAACAGGAUUAGAUUCCCGAGUAGUC